rnacentral:rRNA from 1 species
UGGGGAAUAUUGCACAAUGGGCGCAAGCCUGAUGCAGCCAUGCCGCGUGUAUGAAGAAGGCCUUCGGGUUGUAAAGUACUUUCAGUCGGGAGGAAGGUGGUAAGGUUAAUAACCUUAUCAAUUGACGUUACCGACAGAAGAAGCACCGGCUAACUCCGUGCCAGCAGCCGCGGUAAUACGGAGGGUGCAAGCGUUAAUCGGAAUUACUGGGCGUAAAGCGCACGCAGGCGGUUGAUUGAGUCAGAUGUGAAAUCCCCGGGCUUAACCCGGGAAUUGCAUCUGAUACUGGUCAGCUAGAGUAGUGUAGGGGGGGGUAGAAUUCCAUGUGUAGCGGUGAAAUGCGUAGAGAUGUGGAGGAAUACCGGUGGCGAAGGCGGCCCCCUGGACAAAGACUGACGCUCAGGUGCGAAAGCGUGGGGAGCAAACAGG